UACGGAGGAUGCGAGCGUUAUCCGGAUUUAUUGGGUUUAAAGGGUGCGUAGGUUGUUUUAUAAGUUAGCGGUGAAAUACCGAUGCUCAACAUCGGGGCUGCCGCUAAUACUGUAGGACUAGAGAUCGGAUGCAGCAGGCGGAAUGUGUAGUGUAGCGGUGAAAUGCAUAGAUAUCACGCAGACUACCGCAUUGCGAAGGCAGCAUACCGGCGCCCAACUGACGCUGAAGCACGAAAGCGUGGGUAUCGAACAGG
rnacentral:rRNA from 1 species